rnacentral:rRNA from 1 species
GAAAGCUGUGCUAAAACCGCAUAAAGCUUAAGAAUCGCAUGAUUUUUGAGUCAAAGAUUUAUCGGCAUAGGAUGGGCCCGCGUCUGAUUAGCUAGUUGGUGGGGUAAAGGCUCACCAAGGCGACGAUCAGUAGCCGACCUGAGAGGGUGAUCGGCCACACUGGAACUGAGACACGGUCCAGACUCCUACGGGAGGCAGCAGUGGGGAAUAUUGCACAAUGGGGGAAACCCUGAUGCAGCAACGCCGCGUGAGUGAAGAAGGCCUUCGGGUCGUAAAGCUCUGUCCUAAGGGAAGAAUAAAUGACGGUACCUUAGGAGGAAGCCCCGGCUAACUACGUGCCAGCAGCCGCGGUAAUACGUAGGGGGCAAGCGUUAUCCGGAAUCAUUGGGCGUAAAGGGUGCGUAGGCGGUCAAUAAAGUCAGGGGUGAAAGGCUACGGCUCAACCGUAGUAAGCCCUUGAAACUUAGUGACUUGAGUGCAGGAGAGGUAAGUGGAAUUCCUAGUGUAGCGGUGAAAUGCGUAGAUAUUAGGAGGAACACCAGUGGCGAAGGCGACUUACUGGACUGUAACUGACGCUGAGGCACGAAAGCGUGGGGAGCAAACAGGAUUAGAUACCCU